rnacentral:rRNA from 1 species
ACCAUCAACAAUAUCAACCUGCAACUCACAACUGGCAGCCCACCGAAGCUAAGCAGGUGUGAGCCUGGUCAGUACCUGGAUGGGAGCCCUCCUGGGAAAAAACUAAGGAUGUUACUGGAA